rnacentral:rRNA from 1 species
AGUUGACCUCGGAUCAGGUAGGAGUACCCGCUGAACUUAAGCAUAU